rnacentral:rRNA from 1 species
AUUGAACGCUGGCGGCAUGCCUUACACAUGCAAGUCGAACGGUAACAGGCCGCAAGGUGCUGACGAGUGGCGAACGGGUGAGUAAUACAUCGGAAUGUGUCCGAGGGUGGGGGAUAACGUUGGGAAACUGACGCUAAUACCGCAUAUCCCCCUGAGGGGGAAAGCAGAGAUGCGCCCACGGAGCAGCCUGCGUCCGAUUAGCUAGUUGGUUAGGUAAAGGCUGACCAAGGCGACGAUCCGUAGCGGGGUCUGAGAGGAUGAUCCGCCACACUGGGACUGAGACACGGCCCAGACUCCUACGGGAGGCAGCAGUGGGGAAUUUUGGACAAUGGGCGCAAGCCUGAUCCAGCCAUGCCGCGUGCAGGAUGACGGUCCUAUGGAUUGUAAACUGCUUUUAUACAGGAAGAAACCCUCUCACGAGUGGGAGCUUGACGGUACUGUAUGAAUAAGCAUCGGCUAACUCCGUG